GUCUUGCCUGCCCAGUGAUAAAUUAAACGGCCGCGGUAUUCUGACCGUGCGAAGGUAGCGCAAUCACUUGUCCUUUAAAUGAGGACCCGUAUGAAUGGUGAAACGAGGGCUUAACUGUCUCCCCCUUUAUGUCAAUGAAAUUGAUCUAUCCGUGCAGAAGCGGAUAUAAUACUACAAGACGAGAAGACCCUUUGGAGCUUAAGAUAAAAGACUAAUUAUGUUAAGAGCCUGCUAAACCUGACUAAACUAUAUAAAAACUAGUCCACAAUCUUCGGUUGGGGCGACCACGGGAGAAAAUAAAGCUCCCACGCGGACUGGGCACAAACCUAAAACCAAGAAAGACAUUUCUAAGUCUCAGAACAUCUGACCAAAUUUGAUCCGGACUAACCUCCGAUCAACGAACCAAGUUACCCAAGGGAUAACAGCGCAAUCCCCUUUAAGAGUUCAUAUCGACAAGGGGGUUUACGACCUCGAUGUUGGAUCAGGACAUCCUAAUGGUGCAGCCGCUAUUAAGGGUUCGUUUGUUCAACGAUUAAAGUCCUACGUGAUCUG
rnacentral:rRNA from 1 species